rnacentral:rRNA from 1 species
CGGAAACCACUGGAAAGUGGUACCAAAGAGGGUGAUAGUCCCGUAUGGGUAACGAGUAUAAUAGAUAGUGGUAUCCUGAGUAGGGCGGGACACGAGAAAUCCUGUCUGAAUUUGGCGGGACCAUCCGCUAAGGCUAAAUACUCCUGAGAGACCGAUAGUGAACCAGUACCGUGAGGGAAAGGUGAAAAGAACCGUGAAUAACGGAGUGAAAUAGAUCCUGAAACCAUACGCUUACAAGCGGUCGGAGCCCUUUAGUGGGGUGACGGCGUGCCUUUUGCAUAAUGAGCCUACGAGUUAACGUUGCUGGCAAGGAUAAGUGGUUAAGUCACGGAUCCGUAGCGAAAGCGAGUCUGAAUAGGGCGCUUUAGUCAGUAGUGUUAGACGCGAAACCGUGUGAUCUACCCAUGGGCAGGUUGAAGCUGUGGUAACACACAGUGGAGGACCGAACCGGUUGACGUUGAAAAGUCUUCGGAUGACCUGUGGGUAGGGGUGAAAGGCCAAUCAAACUCGGAAAUAGCUCGUACUCCCCGAAAUGCAUUUAGGUGCAGCGUUAUGCGUAAAGUUAUAUAGAGGUAGAGCUACUGAUUGGAUGCGGGGGCUUCACCGCCUACCAAUUCCUGACAAACUCCGAAUGCUAUAUAAUGUUUACCAGCAGUGAGGGCUUGGGUGCUAAGGUCCAAGUCCGAGAGGGAAAGAACCCAGACCAUCAGCUAAGGUCCCCAAAUCUAUACUAAGUUGAAAGAACGAGGUUUGUCUGCCCAGACAGCUAGGAUGUUGGCUUGGAAGCAGCCAUUCAUUUAAAGAGUGCGUAACAGCUCACUAGUCGAGCGGACGAGCAUGGAUAAUAAUCGGGCAUAAGUAUAGUACCGAAGCUAUGGAUUUGUAUUAUAUACAAGUGGUAGGGGAGCAUUCUAACAGGGUAGAAGGUGUAUCGUAAGGUAUGCUGGACUGGUUAGAAAAGAAAAUGUAGGCAUAAGUAACGAUAAUGCGGGCGAGAAACCCGCACACCGAAAGACUAAGGUUUCCACAGCUAUGCUAAUCAGCUGUGGGUUAGUCGGGACCUAAGGCGAACCCGAAAGGGACAGUCGAUGGACAACGGGUUAAUAUUCCCGUACUAGUUAUUACUGUGAUGGGGUGACGGAGUGAUGAAAGCGCCGCGAACUGACGGAAUAGUUCGUUGAAGUACCUACCUAUAAGCUGCGCAGGCAAAUCCACGCGGCUUGGGGAAAUACGAUAGUACUCGGAGUCUUCGGACAAAGAGAUAGUGCGCCUAAGGGCUUCCAAGAAAAACCUCUAAACUUCAGGUAAUAAGUACCCGUACCGCAAACCGACACAGGUAGUCGAGGAGAGAAUCCUAAGGUGCUCGAGAGAUUCAUGGCUAAGGAAUUAGGCAAAAUAGACCCGUAACUUCGGGAGAAGGGUCGCCACGCUUACGGCGUGGCCGCAGUGAAGAGGUCCAGGCGACUGUUUAUCAAAAACACAGGGCUCUGCAAAAUCGUAAGAUGAAGUAUAGGGCCUGACACCUGCCCGGUGCUGGAAGGUUAAGAGGAGAUGUUAUCUUCGGAGAAGCAUUGAAUUGAAGCCCCAGUAAACGGCGGCCGUAACUAUAACGGUCCUAAGGUAGCGAAAUUCCUUGUCGGGUAAGUUCCGACCUGCACGA